rnacentral:rRNA from 1 species
AGGAUUAACGCUGGCGGCGUGCAUGAGACAUGCAAGUCGAACGGACACUCACGGGCUUGCUCGUGAGUGUUAGUGGCGGACGGCUGAGUAACGCGUAGGUGACUUGCCCUGAAGUGGGGAAUAACUGCCCGAAAGGGUGGCUAAUACCGCAUGUGGUGAUGCGUUCAAUCGCAUCGGUAAAGCCGCAAGGCGCUUCAGGAGAGGCCUGCGUCCGAUUAGCUCGUUGGUGGGGUAACGGCUCACCAAGGCGACGAUCGGUAGGUGGUCUGGAGAGGACGAUCACCCAGACUGGGACUGAGACACGGCCCAGUACCCGUCCGUA